rnacentral:rRNA from 1 species
GCUACCCUACGGGACGCAGCAGUGGGGAAUAUUGCACAAUGGGGGAAACCCUGAUGCAGCGACGCCGCGUGAGCGAAGAAGUAUUUCGGUAUGUAAAGCUCUAUCAGCAGGGAAGAAAAUGACGGUACCUGACUAAGAAGCCCCGGCUAAAUACGUGCCAGCAGCCGCGGUAAUACGUAUGGGGCAAGCGUUAUCCGGAUUUACUGGGUGUAAAGGGAGCGUAGGCGGCGAUGCAAGUCAGAAGUGAAAGCCCGGGGCUCAACUCCGGGACUGCUUUUGAAACUGUGUUGCUAGAUUGCAGGAGG